rnacentral:tRNA from 1 species
AAGGGUGAGAAAGUCGUCCUGCUAACUCGACACUCCCAGACCUAACCCCCUGGCCCCCU